AUGACCUUCAUCAUCAUCUUCAUCUGGACUCUCCAACUGCGUUUGCUCCAAGAAUCUAUUGGGCAGGUGACAGUGACUCAAACUCCCUCAGUGCUGCUCGCUCAAACUGGACAAUCAGUCACUGUAACCUGUAAAUCUAGCAGUGAUCCUACCUGCUGUUGUAGUGGAAAGCAGUGUCUCAGCUGGUACUUACAGAAACCUGGAGAAGCUCCUAAACUCCUGAUUUAUGGAAUAAGCAGCUGUCAGUCAGGAACUCCAUCUAGAUUCAGUGGCAGUGGAUCUAACAGUGAUUUCACUCUGACCAUCAGUGGAGUCCAGACUGAAGAUGCUGGACAUUAUUACUGUCAGAGUUACCACAGCAGUGGUGGUGUGUUCACACAGUGAUAAAGAGUGGUACAA